UGAGCAAGACUUGGUCAGAAUUCCUGGGC
rnacentral:piRNA from 1 species